AUGGCCUGAUUAAACUGUUGUUCAGGUGUGUCCAAUUCUUUGUGACAUCAUGGAUUAUUGCCACAGUACGGCCCUUGUAUCUUCCAUUAUUUCCUCAAGUUUGUCCAAGUUCAUGUUCACUGCUUCCAUGACACUAUCCAGCUCAUCCUCUGUUAUCCCUUUCUUCAUUCACCUUCAAACUUUCUUUAACAUCAGGGGUUCUUUUCCAAUGACUCCUUUCCUCUCACAAUGUAGCCCAAGUAUUUAAACUUCAGCUUUAGUAUUUGACCUUCCAAAGAAUAGUCUGAAUUAAUUUCUUUAAAUAUUGACUGAUUUGAUCUCCUUGUUGAAAAGGGAAGCUCAAAAGUCUUCACCAGCAUCACAGUUCUAAAGUUUCCAUCUCUCUUCAAAUUCUGCAAAUCUUUUAAGGUCCAUGAACUUUUUGGUUUCUUAUUUGAUUGCUCAAAGCUUUCUUUGGAAGUUUUACAACAUAGUCUGAUCCACAUAAUAUGGGCAUUAAUACAUUAGUUUCUAUCAACUCCUUGUUUCAUACACAUAAAUCUUACUUUUCUUAACUGAUUUGUGAAGUCUUUGAAAGAACUCCAUUUUAUACUUAUUUUGCACGAAGACUGUUAAAUAUUGGAAAGGAAUACCAAUGGAAGUUGUGUUCUUCCCUAGAGGGAUGUGAGAAUGGGCCAUGUAUCUUUUUUCUCAAAUUCUAGAUUUUCAAUUUUCUAAACAUCUUCUAGAAGCACUCUCUCUCUCUCUCUCUCUCUCUCUCUCUCUCUCUCUCUCUCUCUCUCUCUCUCGUUCUCUCUCUCAUAUAUGUAUAUACAUAUAGUGCUAAAGAAAAAUUGUGUGACAUGAAAGGAAGAUUUGAUGCCAAGUUCUUACCACUCAUGGCCAGAUCAUUCAAUGUGUUCAGAUUUCAUGAAGGUUGAUUGGACUUGAUCCAUCAUUUUACGGAAAAUUAAUUAUUUCAAAUACAUGCACCACUGUAUGCAACCUGCCUGAUUUGCAUUGAGGAAAAUUCAGCAGAAGUAAUUGAGGCACAAGCAAAUACUGGCACUGACUGAACUCAAUUUUCAUUCCAAAUUUCUGCAAAAUCCCAAGGCACAACAAUAUCAGAUGCAAGGGGGAAAACAAACAAAAGCAAUGUGAAAAGGGAACAUGAAGAGAGAAUAUUACAAGAAUCAGAGAACAAAGGGAUUGCAGAACUAUUUUAGUGCCAUAGAUGAGCAGUGAGGGCUUCAUUCAGGCAAGGUGGAAUGAGAUAUCAUAUGGCAUCCUGACAAUUGAUGUCUUCAUUUAAAUGUAAGAAUUUACAUUCUAAUUAGAAAGAAUUUACAUCUUAA